UAUGAACAAUAGAGAAAGAGACUAUAGAGAUUGGCUGGAUUUACCGUGUAUGAGCUGGAUUGUUUUGGACUUACCUGUUGGCGUUUGGACCUGGACCUACCGAGAACCCGAUUCGUGUACCGAACCCUGCUAUCCUUGACCUCGCCUACGGCCUGGGUGGACCAGGACAAACACACAGAACUACAGAUCACAAAAUGGCCGACCGCCAAAACUACAAGUCCCAGAAGCAAGGGGAACCCUCAGAAGGUGGAGCCGACUCACAGAUAAAGGGUCAAGAAAAACCAGGAAGAGGGAGAGAGAGUGCUGUAAGGAGCUAUGAACAAUAGAGAAAGAGACUAUAGAGAUUGGCUGGAUUUACCGUGUAUGAGCUGGAUUGUUUUGGACUUACCUGUUGGCGUUUGGACCUGGACCUACCGAGAACCCGAUUCGUGUACCGAACCCUGCUAUCCUUGACCUCGCCUACGGCCUGGGUGGACCAGGACAAACACACAGAACUACAGAUCACAAAAUGGCCGACCGCCAAAACUACAAGUCCCAGAAGCAAGGGGAACCCUCAGAAGGUGGAGCCGACUCACAGAUAAAGGGUCAAGAAAAACCAGGAAGAGGGAGAGAGAGUGCUGUAAGGAGCUAUGAACAAUAGAGAAAGAGACUAUAGAGAUUGGCUGGAUUUACCGUGUAUGAGCUGGAUUGUUUUGGACUUACCUGUUGGCGUUUGGACCUGGACCUACCGAGAACCCGAUUCGUGUACCGAACCCUGCUAUCCUUGACCUCGCCUACGGCCUGGGUGGACCAGGACAAACACACAGAACUACAGAUCACAAAAUGGCCGACCGCCAAAACUACAAGUCCCAGAAGCAAGGGGAACCCUCAGAAGGUGGAGCCGACUCACAGAUAAAGGGUCAAGAAAAACCAGGAAGAGGGAGAGAGAGUGCUGUAAGGAGCUAUGAACAAUAGAGAAAGAGACUAUAGAGAUUGGCUGGAUUUACCGUGUAUGAGCUGGAUUGUUUUGGACUUACCUGUUGGCGUUUGGACCUGGACCUACCGAGAACCCGAUUCGUGUACCG